rnacentral:rRNA from 1 species
UAGGGAAUCUUCCGCAAUGGACGAAAGUCUGACGGAGCAACGCCGCGUGAGUGAAGAAGGUUUUCGGAUCGUAAAGCUCUGUUGUCAGGGAAGAACAAGUACCGGAGUCACUGCCGGUACCUUGACGGUACCUGACCAGAAAGCCACGGCUAACUACGUG